CCUACGGGUGGCAGCAGUGGGGAAUAUUGGGCAAUGGAGGCAACUCUGACCCAGCAACGCCGCGUGAAUGAUGACGGUCUUCGGAUUGUAAAGUUCUUUUUUAAGGGAAGAAGAAAGUGACGGUACCUUAGGAAUAAGCCUUGGCUAACUACGUGCCAGCAGCCGCUGUAAUACGUAGGAGGCAAGCGUUAUCCGGAAGGACUGGGCGUAAAGGGUGCGUAGGUGGUUUGACAAGUUAGUAGCGCAACUCCGGGGCUCAACUUCGGAACUGCUGCUAAAACUGUUGGACUUGAGUGCAGGAGGGGCAAGCGGAAUUCCUGGUGUAGCGGUGGAAUGCGUAGAUAUUAGGAAGAACACCAGUGGCGAAGGCAGAUUGCUGGACUGUAACUGACACUGAGGCACGAAAGCGUGGGGAGCAAACAGGAUUAGAUACCCGUGUAGUC
rnacentral:rRNA from 1 species